GACAAAACGAUGAGCGCAUCUGCAUCGAAGCUCUCAGAGCUGAUAGUUUAUAUCUGCGUCCUUUUUGUGCAGUACAGUACAGAAUACAUCCUGUAUCCAACUAAUGCAGAGUAUAUUCAAGUUGCCAACACACUGGUUGUGAAGAACCCUCUCCAGAGAAAUAUAAAAGGUAAUGACUGUCACACCUGACACAUCCCUAAACCGGAAAUUUAAAGC